rnacentral:tRNA from 1 species
GGAGAAAAUUGAAGUAAAUAGAUAUUAAUAUUUUUGACUGGCAGUCAAGAGGUCGUCGGUUCGAAUCCGAUCUUCUCCA